GGGGAUUUAGCUCAAUGGUAGAGCGCUUGCCUAGGGAGCGCAAGGCCCUGGGUUCGGUCCCCAGCUCCG
rnacentral:tRNA from 1 species